rnacentral:lncRNA from 1 species
GGCAUUUCUAACAGUUGGCGCCUGCGGAAAAUGGCCUGGGGUUCCAGCUCUGGAAGGUUCCGAAUCUCAGUAUUCACGAGCGGCGCUGUCCGGAGCAGCCAGGGUUGUCCCUUGGUGGUCUCGGGCAGGUUCUCCGCGAUGCGCUUGCUGGGUCGCAGGUGAGAACCUCACGGUUCUCCAUUUCCGGAGCUCCAGCUCUGAGCAGGCAGAGGGUCGCUCCCCUCGCCUGCCCCUGCGGUAGCCAAGCAGGUGGCUGGAAGCGUGGCUAGCUGGCAGGUAAGGAGCUCCAGGUGAGACGGAACACGACCCCCAACCCCCUUAGCCGGUGCCCCACCCGAUUUCUCUCCUGCGUCCUGGGAGGGCAUGGUUGAGGCGCCACCGGUGCCCAGCAACCUCCCCAGGCUGUGGUUGUGACCUGAGGACGCGUGUGUCCCCGCCCCCAGGCCACCGCUACGCGACCCUGAGUGCACCUUCAAGAAGGCCGGGCACGUUUCUGGGCGGGCGUGGGGGGUGCCUGAUAUCUCCGCUCUAUUUUACAGUUACUCCCCUGCUGGUGCCUCCCUCCUUGGCGCGCUUCCCACCUGCGAUCGGCGCCCUCUUCGCAGUCACGAACUCGCCAGCAGCUAGCAGCACUGACUAGUAGGAGGGCCCGCCGGAGGAGAGGAAGCCCCAGAGAGAUUGGUGAGGGUGAUUUCCCAGGAAGACGCAGUGUGCUCUGACUUCUGUGACAGUGAGCAACGGGACCAGUGGAUGUCCAGAUGCUGGCAAUGAGACAUACUCUGGAGUCAGAAGACAGCGAAAAGAGAAGCAGAAGCCCCGGUGGCAAGAGUCUGAAGGUGGGUUCCUUCCUGACAUGGGCAUUGGGCUGCGCAUGUGUGUUCGCAGUUCUUUCCAGCUGCUGUUCUGACCUCUUUGUGCAGUGUAUUUAUGUGGCUGUAGAUGGAUGGUCC